rnacentral:lncRNA from 1 species
GGUGCUGUAUAGAAAGCAGUAAAAGUGGGAACAGAAGAAAGGUUCCAGUGCAGACAGUAGAGGGUCUUUAAGGAAGGCUCUUUGGUACAGUGAAAGAUCGUUACUGCAUUGAGCAAAAGUGAUGAGUGUCAAAGUCCUGGUUUCAGAGACCAGUCAGAGCAAUGCUUAUUGCAUGAAACAACUUCUCUUGGCUGGGGUGGCCCAUGUGCCUGGAUGUUCUGAUACAGAUGAAAACUGGAAGAAUGAGGGCUAAGAGCAACUGACAGAAAAUGCAUUGGGAAUAUAAGGAAGAUUCAUGCAAAUGAGAUGGAGCUGACCAAAAGACAUUACUAUGAUCAGAAACUAUGGCUCCCUGAAAAGACGUGUCAUUAAUCUUCU